CCUACGGGAGGCAGCAGUGGGGAAUAUUGGGCAAUGGGCGCAAGCCUGACCCAGCAACGCCGCGUGAAGGAAGAAGGCUUUCGGGUUGUAAACUUCUUUUGUCAGGGACGAAGCAAGUGACGGUACCUGACGAAUAAGCCACGGCUAACUACGUGCCAGCAGCCGCGGUAAUACGUAGGUGGCAAGCGUUGUCCGGAUUUACUGGGUGUAAAGGGCGUGCAGCCGGAGAGACAAGUCAGAUGUGAAAUCCACGGGCUCAACCCGUGAACUGCAUUUGAAACUGUUUCCCUUGAGUGUCGGAGAGG
rnacentral:rRNA from 1 species